CACAAGAAUUCCCAGUUAAAGUUAAACAUACAAACUUACUGUGUGUAGGUAUGGAAAAUUCCCCAGAGAAGGCAGUGCAAACAACUUCAACUUUCUUUCCCUCAGUCUACAUCUAGGUGAAGCACUGUUCAGCAACUACCUUAACCAAAAAAGGCAAAACUGGAGGGAGAUGUGGAUUAAAGCCAGGAUUCAGGCCUGUGUAUUUUGUACAGCACCAAACUCACAGGCGGAAUACGUGGUCCUUCCCCUAGGGAGCUAAAGGUCCAAUUAUACUGAAAAUAAUCUGCCCCAUGCAGAGAUCAGAGAUGUUUUCCUACAUUGCAUAGGCUGCUGGUCUGCCAGUUAUUGGUUUCUGGGUUAUCAAAGGAAAGUAUUGUUUUCAUCUUCAACAAGACUUUAAAAAGUAACAUGGAUAUCAAAGUUAACUAGCUAAGUCAUUUUAUAGAUAAAGAAGCUGAAACAUGGAGCACAAGGUUCAUUCAACCAGAUAUUUAUCCUCUCAUAACAACAGGUCCUAUGUGGCUGUAUGUCUGGGACAAGAUAUCCCUCUAUGUGGGUAGUAUCAAAACUGUACUUGGCCAAUUAUACCACAGUCUCUGGACACAUACUUCUGUUUGUAUAAAUUACACUUUAGCAGCUGGCCCCCCUUUCAGAUCCAGGAGUUGCAAGAACAGAACAUAAAAAAGUUUAAAUCCUAGACCACACCUUUCUUUAAUAGUUACACUUGUCUUUAGUUCUGUUUUGCUCCAGAUACCAUAGCAAGGACCUAAGAAGUUGAGCAGUGUA